rnacentral:rRNA from 1 species
UCUUUGACCUCGGAUCAGGUAGGGAUACCCGCUGAACUUAAGCAUAUCAAUAAGCGGAGGAAAAGAAACCAACAGGGAUUGCCCUAGUAACGGCGAGUGAAGCGGCAACAGCUCAAAUUUGAAAUCUGGCUCUCUUUGGGGGUCCGAGUUGUAAUUUGCAGAGGGUGCUUUGGCAUUGGCGGUGGUCUAAGUUCCUUGGAACAGGACAUCACAGAGGGUGAGAAUCCCGUACGUGGGCACCUGCCUUUGCCGUGUAAAGCCCCUUCGACGAGUCGAGUUGUUUGGGAAUGCAGCUCUAAAUGGGAGGUAAAUUUCUUCUAAAGCUAAAUACCGGCCAGAGACCGAUAGCGCACAAGUAGAGUGAUCGAAAGAUGAAAAGUACUUUGGAAAGAGAGUCAAAUAGCACGUGAAAUUGUUGAAAGGGAAGCGCUUGCAGCCAGACUUGCCCGCAGUUGCUCACCUAGGCUUUGGCCUGGGGCACUCUUCUGCGGGCAGGCCAGCAUCAGUUUGGGCGGUCGGAUAAAGGCCUCUGUCACGUAUCUCCCUUCGGGGUGACCUUAUAGGGGAGGCGUAAUGCGACCAGCCCGGACUGAGGUCCGCGCAUCUGCUAGGAUGCUGGCGUAAUGGCUGUAAGCGGCCCGUCUUGAAACACGGACCAAGGAGUCUAACAUCUAUGCGAGUGUUUGGGUGUCAAGCCCGGGCGCGCAAUGAAAGUGAACGGAGGUGGGAACCCUUUGGGUGCACCAUCGACCGAUCCUGGUGUCUUCGGAUGGAUUUGAGUAAGAGCAUAGCUGUUGGGACCCGAAAGAUGGUGAACUAUGCUUGAAUAGGGUGAAGCCAGAGGAAACUCUGGUGGAGGCUCGCAGCGGUUCUGACGUGCAAAUCGAUCGUCAAAUUUGGGCAUAGGGGCGAAAGACUAAUCGAACCAUCUAGUAGCUGGUUCCUGCCGAAGUUUCCCUCAGGAUAGCAGUAACGUUUUCAGUUUUUAUGAGGUAAAGCGAAUGAUUAAAGGCAUG